rnacentral:rRNA from 1 species
AGUGAACGCUGGCGGUAGGCCUAACACAUGCGAGUCGAACGGCGGCACAGUAAGAGCUUGCUCUUACGGGUGGCGAGUGGCGGACGGGUGAGGAAUACAUCGGAAUCUACUUUUUCGUGGGGGAUAACGUAGGGAAACUUACGCUAAUACCGCAUACGACCUACGGGUGAAAGCAGGGGAUCUUCGGACCUUGCGCGAUUGAAUGAGCCGAUGUCGGAUUAGCUAGUUGGCGGGGUAAAGGCCCACCAAGGCGACGAUCCGUAGCUGGUCUGAGAGGAUGAUCAGCCACACUGGAACUGAGACACGGUCCAGACUCCUACGGGAGGCAGCAGUGGGGAAUAUUGGACAAUGGGCGCAAGCCUGAUCCAGCCAUACCGCGUGGGUGAAGAAGGCCUUCGGGUUGUAAAGCCCUUUUGUUGGGAAAGAAAAGCAGCAGGUUAAUACCCCGCUGUUCUGACGGUACCCAAAGAAUAAGCACCGGCUAACUUCGUG